AACUAAAAUUGUAAUUGAAUUUAUGUAUUCUGUUGGGUUGAAUUUGUGGGUCACGAGACUUCUUUAUUAUUGUCAUAGAUUAAGGUGAAAGAGUAGUUUAAUAGUUCUAAUUUCUUUCAUAUAUAGAU